GUAGGUGAACCUGCGGAAGGAUCAUUACCAAAUCCAAAAAACUUUAUCAACCCUUAUGUGCACUGAGAAUGGUUCCGUCCCCUGCCUGCCCCUAUCAAAUGAGGCAAGGGAGUGAGGAGAGAGAGGGGAGCAAAAGGAGAAAAAAAAACCAAAAGAGUGUGAGUGAGAGAGAGAGAGAGUAUUCGUACUCAACCCUCGAGCCUGCUCCUUUAUUUUUUCUUUCCUUCCCCUCUUGCCUCUCUUCCGGCGG
rnacentral:misc_RNA from 1 species